rnacentral:rRNA from 1 species
GACGAACGCUGGCGGCGUGCCUAAUACAUGCAAGUCGAGCGCGGGAAGCUUGCGGAAUCCUUCGGGAGGAAGUGAGCGGACCGAGCGGCGGACGGGUGAGUAACACGUGGGCAACCUGCCCGUAAGACGGGGAUAACCCCGGGAAACCGGGGCUAAUACCGGAUAGGUGACCUUUCUGCAUGGAGGGGUCAUGAAAGGCGGCGGAAGCCGUCGCUUACGGAGGGGCCCGCGGCGCAUUAGCUAGUUGGUGAGGGAAGGGCUCACCAAGGCGACGAUGCGUAGCCGGCCUGAGAGGGUGAACGGCCACACUGGGACUGAGACACGGCCCAGACUCCUACGGGAGGCAGCAGUAGGGAAUCUUCCGCAAUGGACGGAAGUCUGACGGAGCAACGCCGCGUGAGUGAGGAAGGCCUUCGGGUCGUAAAGCUCUGUUGUUCGUGAAGAAGGGGUUGGCCAGGAAAUGGGCCGACAUUGACGGUAGCGAACCAGAAAGCCCCGGCUAACUACGUGCCAGCAGCCGCGGUAACACGUAGGGGGCAAGCGUUGUCCGGAAUGAUUGGGCGUAAAGGGCGCGCAGGCGGCCUCUUAAGUCUGAUGUGAAAGCCCACGGCUCAACCGUGGAGGGACAUUGGAAACUGGGGGGCUUGAGUGCAGGAGAGGGGAGUGGAAUUCCACGUGUAGCGGUGAAAUGCGUAGAGAUGUGGAGGAACACCAGUGGCGAAGGCGGCUCUCUGGCCUGUGACUGACGCUGAGGCGCGAAAGCGUGGGGAGCGAACAGGAUUAGAUACCCUGGUAGUCCACGCCGUAAACGAUG